rnacentral:lncRNA from 1 species
UAUAAACUAUCGGUUAGCUCCUUAAGCUUUUGUGCUUCGUAUCCCCGCUGUUAGUGUGCAUUUGAUACACAGAUAGCUUCUGAAGCUGUCGCGGAUAGUAUCCACACUGUUGUGUGCAUUUGAUACGCUGAAAGCUUAGGAGCUGUAGUUGAUCUGUAUCACCGCAGUUUGUUGGCAGUAGAUAUCCGGGAUAGUGUAGAAUGCAGUUAUGCUCUUGCGGAGAUGCCGAGCUUAUUUUUACAGCAGUGUCUAGGCUGUUUCGGACUGUCGGGUGCCGUCAGGGUUGACGGUGGACCCGGAUUGCGGGUUUUGCAUCAGAUUGUGCCGAGAGCACGUGAGUUUUGGUUGUUAGA